rnacentral:rRNA from 1 species
CAUAUCAAUAAGCGGAGGAAAAGAAACCAACAGGGAUUGCCCUAGUAACGGCGAGUGAAGCGGCAACAGCUCAAAUUUGAAAUCUGGCUUCGGCCCGAGUUGUAAUUUGCAGAGGAAGCUUUAGGCGCGGCACCUUCUGAGUCCCCUGGAACGGGGCGCCAUAGAGGGUGAGAGCCCCGUAUAGUUGGAUGCCUAGCCUGUGUAAAGCUCCUUCGACGAGUCGAGUAGUUUGGGAAUGCUGCUCAAAAUGGGAGGUAAAUUUCUUCUAAAGCUAAAUACCGGCCAGAGACCGAUAGCGCACAAGUAGAGUGAUCGAAAGAUGAAAAGCACUUUGAAAAGAGGGUUAAAUAGCACGUGAAAUUGUUGAAAGGGAAGCGCUUGUGACCAGACUUGCGCCGGGCAGAUCAUCCGGUGUUCUCACCGGUGCACUCUGCCCGGCUCAGGCCAGCAUCGGUUCUCGCGGGGGGAUAAAGGCCCUGGGAACGUAGCUCCUCCGGGAGUGUUAUAGCCCGGGGCGUAAUGCCCUCGCGGGGACCGAGGUUCGCGCAUCUGCAAGGAUGCUGGCGUAAUGGUCAUCAGCGACCCGUCUUGAAACACGGACCAAGGAGUCAAGGUUUUGCGCGAGUGUUUGGGUGUAAAACCCGCACGCGUAAUGAAAGUGAACGUAGGUGAGAGCUUCGGCGCAUCAUCGACCGAUCCUGAUGUUUUCGGAUGGAUUUGAGUAGGAGCGUUAAGCCUUGGACCCGAAAGAUGGUGAACUAUGCUUGGAUAGGGUGAAGCCAGAGGAAACUCUGGUGGAGGCUCGCAGCGGUUCUGACGUGCAAAUCGAUCGUCAAAUCUGAGCAUGGGGGCGAAAGACUAAUCGAACCAUCUAGUAGCUGGUUACCGCC